GACGAACGCUGGCGGCGUGCCUAAUACAUGCAAGUCGAGCGCAGGAAAUCGACGGAACCCUUCGGGGGGAAGUCGACGGAAUGAGCGGCGGACGGGUGAGUAACACGUAAAGAACCUGCCCUCAGGUCUGGGAUAACCACGAGAAAUCGGGGCUAAUACCGGAUGGGUCAUCGGACCGCAUGGUCCGAGGAUGAAAGGCGCUUCGGCGUCGCCUGGGGAUGGCUUUGCGGUGCAUUAGCUAGUUGGUGGGGUAAUGGCCCACCAAGGCGACGAUGCAUAGGCGACCUGAGAGGGGGAUCGGCGACACUGGGACUGAGACACGGCCCAGACUCCUACGGGAGGCAGCAGUAGGGAAUCUUCCACAAUGGACGAAAGUCUGAUGGAGCAACGCCGCGUGAACGAUGAAGGCCUUCGGGUCGUAAAGUUCUGUUGUAAGGGAAGAACAAGUGCCGCAGGCAAUGGCGGCACCUUGACGGUACCUUGCGAGAAAGCCACGGCUAACUACGUGCCAGCCGCCGCAGUAACAC
rnacentral:rRNA from 1 species